CCAGACUCCUACGGGAGGCAGCAGUGGGGAAUAUUGCACAAUGGGGGGAACCCUGAUGCAGCGACGCCGCGUGGGUGAAGGAGCACCUCGGUGCGUAAAGCCCUAUCGGCAGGGAAGAAAAGCGAACAGGUUCGCCUGGACGGUACCUGACUAAGAAGCCCCGGCUAACUACGUGCCAGCAGCCGCGGUAACACAUAGGGGGCGAGCGUUAUCCGGAAUCAUUGGGCGUAAAGGGUGCGUAGGCGGCCUUUUAAGCGCGGGGUCUAAGGCGGUGGCCCAACCACCGUUCGCCCCGCGAACUGGAGGGCUAGAGUGUCGGAGAGGGAAGCGGAAUUCCUAGUGUAGCGGUGAAAUGCGUAGAUAUUAGGAGGAACACCAGUGGCGAAGGCGGCUUACUGGACUGUAACUGACGUUGAGGCUCGAAGGCGUGGGGAGCAAACAGGAUUAGAUACCCUAGUA
rnacentral:rRNA from 1 species